rnacentral:ncRNA from 16 species
GGGAAGCCGGUUCAAUUCCGGCGCUGACCCGCAACCGUGGGCCGUCAGUUGACGGCGAGCCGGAUUACC